rnacentral:rRNA from 1 species
GAUGAACGCUGGCGGCGUGCCUAAUACAUGCAAGUCGAGCGAACAGACGAGGAGCUUGCUCCUCUGACGUUAGCGGCGGACGGGUGAGUAACACGUGGAUAACCUACCUAUAAGACUGGGAUAACUUCGGGAAACCGGAGCUAAUACCGGAUAAUAUAUUGAACCGCAUUGUUCAAUAGUGAAAGACGGUUUUGCUGUCACUUAUAGAUGGAUCCGCGCCGCAUUAGCUAGUUGGUAAGGUAACGGCUUACCAAGGCAACGAUGCGUAGCCGACCUGAGAGGGUGGUCGGCCACACUGGAACUGAGACACGGUACAGACUCCGACGGGAGGCAGCAGUAGGGAAUCUUCCGCAAUGGGCGAAAGCCUGACGGAGCAACGCCGCGUGAGUGAUGAAGGUCUUCGGAUCGUAAAACUCUGUUAUUAGGGAAGAACAAAUGUGUAAGUAACUAUGCACGUCUUGACGGUACCUAAUCAGAAAGCCACGGCUAACUACGUG